CCACCUUCUAUUACGUCACUAGCUUUGGUCGCUUUGCUCCAAAAAUCUUGAUAGCUUUUCCACCGUCUUCGAAAUCCAGCCUCUUUCCUUGUCCUUGGUUAAGAUGCUCCACUUCUGCAGACACAUAAUCGAUCGAUGAAUCACCGCAUUUGGGUUUGAUAUGAUCUUAUUAUUAAAGACGUAAUCGUUUCGAACAAGCCAUAAACUCCAGCAUACACAUGCUAAAAGAACAAUCAUUCUUGAAUUAAAACCUUCUCCUCUAUUUCUACUAAGGUUUAGAAACUGCUGAAAAUUUAGUGGUGUGUAUUA
rnacentral:lncRNA from 1 species